UAGUAGAGACAGGGUUUUGCCAUGGUGGUCAGACUGGUCUCGAACUCCUGGCCUCAAGUGAUCUGCCUACUGAGAGUUAAUUCAAGAAAAACUACUAAAUUAUAAGCUCCUGAAGGCAGAGAUUGGUUCGUUAUUGGACCUGGCAAAAUGAUCAGCAAAGGUUUCUUAAAAUUUGCCAAGAGCUCUUCCAGAUGGGGGAAAGUGAGGAAGCAUAAAAGCUAAUAAUAAAGAUUGGAAAAGGACAUACGUAUGUAUUGGACAAAUCCAGCAUUUCUUGAAAAUUCAUAUAUUGAUUCACUGAUGGCAUGUAAGCAAAGAUAAAGUCAUCUUUAACCAUAAAUGUUAAUUCUUAUUCAGUAAGAGAAACAGCAUGACUCAAAGCAAUGGAUUUAUGGACAUUCAUUUGGCAGUUUAAGGACAAAAUUCUAAGUGGUUGAUGAUAGUGAAAAAUUGAAUUGCCUUAAAUGCCUAACAGCAGGGAGCUUGUUAAAUAAACUAGGAUGCUUUCAUGCAAUUAUGUUUUCAGAUAAAAUCAUGUUUUCAAAAACUAUAUAUGGACAUGGAGAAAUUUAAAUGUGUUAAGUCAAAAAGAUACGGUGGCAGAAACUGUUGACUUCCUACCCAUACCACUUCCCUUCUCCUUCCUAACACCUCUCAAUUUUGUUGGGCUUUCUAUUCUUCUCUGCACAGCUGUGUGUUUCAGGGGAGGCAGUCACCAGGCCUGCCCUGGGGAGUGAAUCAUCGGUGAGUGGUGAAUGUGAAUUCCCCUGGCUGGUGAUCUUCUGAGGCCAGGAGUAUGAUUCAUUCCAGGCCAGCGAGGGGGAUGAGAGUGGAGAGCCUUCUGGAAAAGCUUCCCUCUGUCUUUAAGAGCAGGAGACAAAGUCAUUCUUCCAUUAAAUGUUAGAGUCUACAUGUGAUAAAGCACCAUGCAGCCAGGCCUGAGGCUGAGCUGACAUGCCUGGGAAUGUGGAAAAAUGCAAAGGCCCCAGCUGAUUGAUCUGCUGAUCUGUUGACUUAUUAGCCUUGGAGGCUGCAGGAGAGAGCUUACCAAGGCUGGAAAGAGGGGAGUGUGGAUGCCUCCACCAUACCACUGCCCACCUCCUGUGACCUCUGCACCAAAACCUGAAGUCCCAAAGAAACAGCUUCUCAAAGUGGAAUGAAGGUCAGGUUGGUCUAAAAACCCAUCCAACAAUUUGUGGAAAAGGUUUACAUCAUUUUGUCAUUUAUAUGUCAUUGCUUUUUGCAUCAUAUUGUUUAUCCUUACAAAACAAAUCUGGACACAGCAAGUUGUUCAUUCGCAGAGAAAGAAACCUUACUCACACUUCCUGUCAUCCAGCAGCAAAGAAUACUGACCACAGAGUGACCUUUAAGUGUAAGGUUUUAAUGAGCAUUAGGCUGAAUGCCUGUUUUCCAACCUGGUGCAAAAUAUUUAUAUUUUAGAAAUUGUGAUUUUAACAUUACUGCAAGAAAGAGGGGCUUCUAUUUCCUUUUUCUGCUAUUUAGUCCCUAGAUGAAGAGUUGGCAAUCUUUUUCUACGAAGGACCAAAUUGUAAAUAUCUUUGACUUUGCAAACCAUGUGAUCUCUGUUGCAACUGCUCAACUGCCUUUGUUUUGCAAAAGCAGCUGUGGAUGAUAUCUAUGCAAAUGAACAUGGCAGUGUUCCAAUAAAACUUUAUUUUCAA